rnacentral:tRNA from 1 species
GCGCCCGUAGCUCAGCUGGAUAGAGCGACCGCCUCCUAAGCGGUAGGCCGGAGGUUCAAAUCCUCUCGGGCGUGCCA